UUUUGGGGACUUACGUUCCCAAAAACUAUAAUCUUGCCAUCGUCAGUUCCAAGCCUGAGUGAGAAAAAGAGAGGAUAGU
rnacentral:ribozyme from 1 species